rnacentral:rRNA from 1 species
UACGGAGGGUGCGAGCGUUGUCCGGAAUCACUGGGCGUAAAGGGCGCGUAGGUGGCGCGGGCAGUCAACGGUGAAAGUUCGGGGCUCAACCCCGAAUCGGCCGUCGAUACUCCCGGGCUUGGAGCACUGUAGAGGCUAAUGGAAUUCCGGGUGGUAGCGGUGGAAUGCGUAGAGAUCCGGAAGAACACCGGUGGCGAAGGCGGUUAGCUGGGCAGUUGCUGACACUGAGGCGCGACAGCGUGGGAGCAACAGG